UGGGGAAUAUUGCACAAUGGGCGAAAGCCUGAUGCAGCAACGCCGCGUGAGUGAUGAAGGCCUUCGGGUUGUAAAGCUCUGUCUUUUGGGACGAUAAUGACGGUACCAAAGGAGGAAGCCACGGCUAACUACGUGCCAGCAGCCGCGGUAAUACGUAGGUGGCAAGCGUUGUCCGGAUUUACUGGGCGUAAAGGAUGCGUAGGCGGAUUUUUAAGUGAGAUGUGAAAACCCUAAGCUUAACUUGGGGACUGCAUUUCAUACUGGAAAUCUAGAGUGCGGGAGAGGAGAAUGGAAUUCCUAGUGUAGCGGUGAAAUGCGUAGAGAUUAGGAAGAACACCAGUGGCGAAGGCGAUUCUCUGGACCGUAACUGACGCUGAGGCAUGAAAGCGUGGGGUAGCAAACAGGAUUAGAUACCCUGGUAGUCCACGCCGUAAACGAUGAGUACUAGGUGUAGGAGGUAUCGACCCCUUCUGUGCCGCAGUUAACACAAUAAGUACUCCGCCUGGGAAGUACGAUCGCAAGAUUAAAACUCAAAUGAAUUGAC
rnacentral:rRNA from 1 species